GGGUCAGUAGGUUGGUCGUGCCACCGGUACGUACUGGUCUCACUGAUUCCUCCUUCCUGAAGAACCGUAAUGCCAUUAAUUUGGUGUUGCGGGGAAACAGGACUGUUACUUUGAAAAAAUUAGAGUGUUAAAAGCAAGCUAACGCUUGAAUACAUUAGCAUGGAAUAAUGAAAUAGGACGUUCGAACCUAUUUUGUUGGUUUCUAGGAUUGACGUA
rnacentral:rRNA from 1 species